AGACCAGGAAGUGGAUCCAGUGGAAUGACGGUCACGCCGCGGCGGGUCUGUUGACAUUCAGGGACGUGGCCAUAGAAUUCUCUCAGGAGGAGUGGAAAUGCCUGGACCCUGCUCAGAGGACUCUAUACAGGGACGUGAUGCUGGAGAAUUAUAGGAACCUUGUCUCCCUGGGUGAGGAUAACUUCCCUCCUGGGGAUGUGCCCUUGCAUAUCUUUGUAUUUUCUCUUGUUGCCUCUUGGGAGCCCCAUCCUUACUUGACUAAAAUAGAAGUCAUAUUGAUUUUGAAAUGAAAGCUUCA
rnacentral:sRNA from 1 species